AUUACAUAAAGUCGGGGUAAGAAAACCUGAUAUCCAGAAUUUCACUUUAGAAAACGCAAUUAGGAGUUGCUUUGCUCUGCCCUAAUGAAUGUGAUAAUCGUCUUAUUUGCUGCAUGCUUUGCUUCAAACGUUUUCGCUGGAUGCACGCGGAAGAUGUGCCCUUUUGGUAGCGGCUACGGCUGCAUACCCUUCACUCAAUGCCCUGUGCACUGUAUGACGUGCUAUAGCGGCUGCAAGUUACCGUCUGUAUGCUGCAACCUCCGAAAAAUGAAUGCCUGUUCCUUGGCUGGAGGAACCUGUAACCGUACUUGCCAAACAGUAAUUCCUCACGCCUGGUGUCGUCGACCUUUGAAGUGCUGCGUCCAUGUGGCUAACUGACAAGACACUGUCGUAACUUACACGCUUGCUUAUUGUUACUCUCGUUCUUUAAA